UACGAAGGGGGCUAGCGUUGCUCGGAAUCACUGGGCGUAAAGCGCACGUAGGCGGCUUUCUAAGUCAGGGGGUGAAAUCCUGGAGCUCAACUCCAGAACUGCCUUUGAUACUGGAGAGCUUGAGUCCGGAAGAGGUGAGUGGAACUCCGAGUGUAGAGGUGAAAUUCGUAGAUAUUCGGAAGAACACCAGUGGCGAAGGCGGCUCACUGGUCCGGUACUGGACGCUGAUGUGCGAAAGCGUGGGGAGCAAACAGG
rnacentral:rRNA from 1 species